rnacentral:rRNA from 1 species
CAGCAGCCACGGUAAGACAGAGGGUGCAAACGUUGUUCGGAAUUACUGGGCGUAAAGCGUGUGUAGGCGGCUUCGCAAGUCGGAUGUGAAAGCCCCGGGCUCAACCCGGGAAGUGCACUCGAUACUGCGGAGCUAGAGUGUCGGAGAGGUUGGUGGAAUUCUCGGUGUAGAGGUGAAAUUCGUAGAUAUCGAGAGGAACACCGGUGGCGAAGGCGGCCAACUGGACGAACACUGACGCUGAGGCACGAAAGCGUGGGGAGCAAACAGGAUUAGAUACCCCUGUAGUCCCUGUCUCUUAUAC